ACAGUGGGGGCUACCUUUUUCCACAAGACCCCAGCCUUCUUCAGGAUGCCCUGGCCUAUCUUGUCUGGAAGGAAUUUUAUGUCUGGUAUCUUGCUGUCCCCAUAGCAAUGCCUGCAAGGUGACUAAUGACAUUUUUACUGGCUCUUAAUUCUCCAGGUAUUUUAUUACUAGAAAUACCUUUUUUAAAUUUCAACUUUCCUUCUAUGUAAAGAAAAAAAAAAAAAAAUCUCAUUUUUCUCCUGGAGUCUCCUGGGUGACUUUUCUUAAUUUCAUGAUGCCUCAGCUUGCCUGGAUGCUAUGCCUCCGAGUCCCUGUCUCCCAUGCCUUUUAUCUUAUAAAGAUUGCUCCAUUCACUUGCAACAGCCAAUAUCACCUUUAUGGGUGUAUUGAGUGAAUAAGGUGUUGUAACUCCCACCGAAGUCAAUAUGUCUCUGCACUUGGUGCACACUGCUAACCUAUGCUUUGAUGUCCCAUGACUGAAAGCAUACGAAUACAAGAAAAUAUUUCUUUUUCUGUAGUGAACUUAAACUCUCUUAUAUAUGUAAUGUAACAGUCUCUGCUAUUAUGUCAAAAAAAAAAAAAAAAAAAAAAAGUGUUGAUAGGACACCUUUAAAAAUUCAGGCAGUUGCUGACAAGGCAUUUUUAGAAACCCUGAAAGAAGAACUUUAUA